GGAAUCUUGCGCAAUGGGCGAAAGCCUGACGCAGCAACGCCGCGUGGGGGAUGAAGGCCUUCGGGUUGUAAACCCCUUUCAGGAGGGAAGAAAUUGACGGUACCUCCCGAAGAAGGACCGGCCAACCACGUGCCAGCAGCCGCGGUAAUACGUAGGGUCCGAGCGUUAUCCGGAAUCAGUGGGCGUAAAGAGCUCGUAGGCGGUUCAGCAAGUCGGCUGUGAAAGUCCGAGGCUCAACCUAGGAAUUGCAGUCGAUACUGCUGUGACUCGAGUCCGGUAGAGGAGAAUGGAAUUCCCGGUGUAGCGGUGAAAUGCGCAGAUAUCGGGAGGAACACCAGUAGCGAAGGCGGUUCUCUGGGCCGGCACUGACGCUGAGGAGCGAAAGCGUGGGGAGCAAACAGG
rnacentral:rRNA from 1 species